AUUUUUUAUAUUUUUUUAAAUUAUAAAAAUACAUAUGGGUAAUAUUAAUAAAAAUGAUAGAAAGUAACAGAGAUAGCAUUAUGAAUAUACAAGAAAAAGGUAGUAAACGUAAUUGUAACGUUUAUAAUUUAAAAAAUGAAAGUAGUAAUAACAUAGUUAAUUUUUAUGAUAUAUCAUUACCAUGCGUAGGAAAUGAUAACUGUUCAUUUAUGUUUGGUAUAAAAAAAGAAAUGUUUAUUAACGAUAUAAAUGAGUAUAUGACACAAGAUAUUGAAAUAAAUAAUUCAAAUUUACAACAAGAAUAUGAAAUUGUAGCUUUACAUGGAUCGAAAAAAAAAAAAAAUGGAAAUAAAAUUAAUAUUAGUGAAACGAAUGAAAGUAUAAACAAUAAUGCAUAUAAUAAUAAUAAUAAUAAUAAUAAUCACUAUAUUACUGAAAAUCAAAAUAGUAUUAUUGAUGAGAAUAUGUGUAGUAGCAUUAGAGAUAAUGUAGUAUUAAAUCCUUUACCAGAUGUUACUCUAUCUGAAAAUAAUAAAAGUAUUGAACAAAAUAAAAAUAUAAAUGAAAAUAACAAAUUUUUUAAUCAAGAAAUAGAAUUAGAUGAAGUUAAUUCUAAUACAAAUAAUAUAAAUAAAAUUAACGAUAUACAACAAGAUAUUAUGAGAUUUCCUGGGGAAGAGUAUGUUAUUGAAAGAAGUAUAAAAGAAGCAGAGGAAGUUAUGUUACCUAAUAUGACUGUACAUAAUUUAUAUUCUGUAAACGAUAAUAGUACAACUAAUGUUUUAGAUAAUACAAUAAAUGCACAGUCACAAGUAAGUAUAACAAAUAAUAAUACAUUUAUAAUUAAUGAAAAUGCAUCACUAUCUACGAAUAUACUUGUAAAUAGUCAUCAUCUAAAUAAUAAUAAUUUAAUGAACGAACAUAUACAUACAUCAGAUCCGGUCGCCACACCUAUACAUACUAACCAUUCAGAUAAUGAAAUAAAUAUAGAUAAUCAUAGAAGAAAUCAAGGGAUAAAUAAUAAUUUUUUACCAAAUAUUUUGAAUCAAAAUGGUUUAAUGAAUUAUACAGGAAUAAAUAACAAUUAUUCACAUGAAGAAGGUUCGAAUGAAAAUGAUUUAAAUUAUUAUGCAUUAAGUAUUAGCAACGAAUUAAAUGCGACUAGACAAAAUAUAAAUUCAAAUAGAAGUGAUGAUGGAGUUGAGGAAGAGGAAGGAGAGAUUGAAGAAGAUGAUGAAAGAGAAGAUACAGGUGAACAAGAAUUAACUAAAAAAUAUUUUCUUAGUAAGUUAUUAGGUUAUGAAAUAACAUUAAAUUUAGAAGAAUAUAAUUUGAAUAGUGCUAUAAAAACAAUUUUAUUUGUAUUUUUAUUAUUAACACUUUUUAGUAUUGAAUUUGUUUUAUUAUAUAACAAUUUAUUUAAAAUAAAUAUAAAUGAUAAUAAUAUAGUAUUAAUUGAAAGUUUAUAUAAUAAUUCUUUUACCAAUAAUUUUUUAUUACAAUUUAAUAAAAAUGACUCGAAUAAUGUAUUAUUAACAAAUGAUAUAAUAAAAGAAGAAAUACAAAAUAAUAAUAUAAAAUUACAUGAUGAUAUGUGUAAUGUAUUGCAUAAAUUUCAUAUAGUUUGUAAUCUUAUAGAAAAUGUGUCUAAAACGGAUCAAAAUAGUAAUAACUUGAAUAAUAGUUUAUUUGAUAGUAGUAUGUAUGGUUUGAAUAUUUUUAAAACUGAUAAUGUUUUAGCGGAUAACUUUAAAAGUAAUAAUACGAUUGAUUUGAUUCAUCAAAGUGUUGAUAAAAGUAAUGAAAUUGAUUGUAAAAGUAAUGAAAAUGGUGAUAAAAGUAAUGAAAAUGGUGAUAAAAGUAAUGAAAAUAGUAGUAGUAGUAGUAGUAGUAGUAAAAAUAGUAAAAAUGGUGAUAGUAAGGUAAAGAGAAGUUGCGAUAAACCAAAACAGAAUAGUGAUAAGACUAAACAGAAUGGUUAUAGAAUUAAUAAAGGUAUUGACAAAACAAAACAAAAUGAGGAAAAAAUAAAACAUCCUAGUGAUAAGACUAAGCAAAAUGGUGAUAAGAUUAAUAAAACUGGUGAUAGAACAAAGAGAAGUAUUGAUAAAACAAAACCAAUUAGUGAUAAAACUAUAAAUGGUGAUAAUAAUAAAUAUAACGGACGCAAUGACUUGUCAGGUAAUAAUAAUUAUAACAAAAAUGAGAAUAUUAAUUUAUAUGAUAACAACAGCAAUGGAGUUAAUGAUGGUAAAAAAUUAACUGUACAAAAUAAAAAAACUAUGGAAAACGAUUUAAAUACAAAACUAAAUAUAGCCGAAAAAACGAUACGAAUAUAUGACGAACUAAAAUCAAUGGGUAUGUUGGUUUAUAAAGUUAAUGAAUCCAUUUUAUCACCAUGUAAAAAUAUAAUGAUUAAAUCGAAUGAUAAUAAUGAUCAUAGUAAAUCAAUAUUUUUGUUUGUAUCAGCAAGAAAACAUUUACAAAUAAGUAAAUUAUUUUUAUUUUUUAUUAUAUUUUUUUUUGGUAUCCAUAUAGCAUUAGUUUUAUCAAGAAUAUUAUAUGAUUUUAUUUUAUUUUUAUCUUUUAAAAAUUAUCAAUUAUCCGUAAGCAGUAAAAGAAAAUAUGUAGCUAAAUAUUUAUGGUCUGUUAGUACGAUAUUAUUUCUUGGUAUUUUAUUAGGGGAUGAAUGUAUGGUAUGGUUAUUACAUGACCUAGAUCCUAUAUUUAAUUAUUAUUUUCAAUUUUUUAUUUGGUAUAUUUCUAUAUUUUGUUUUUUAACUUAUUUAUUUUCAGAAUUGUUAAGAAUAUAUGGUGAAAAAAAUGAAAAUAACACAAGUAUUUACCUUUCUUAUUAUUUAUUAUAUAUACAUGAAUUUUUAUUUGUAACAAAUAUACUACUUGCUUGUGUUUUUAUGUUAAUAAAUAUAAAUAAAGCAACAGUUAUUACUAUGAUCAUAACACUUAUAGUUUUAUUUAUUGAUAUGUUAAAUGAUUCUUAUUUGGAACAAAUACAAGUAAACAAUUUACAAGAAAUGAAUCAAAAUAAACAUAAAAAGAAAAAAAUACAAAUAAUUGAAAAUAAAAAAAAGAUGGAAAAAAACUCUUUU
ensembl:lncRNA